AUAAAUAAAGGGGGACAGAGGGAGAGAGAAAACCUUAAGCAGAUUCCCUGCUGAGCAUGGAUCCCCACAUGGGGCUCAAUCACAUGACCCUGAGAUCAUGUCCUGGGAUAAAAUUAAGACUUGGACACUUAACUGACUGAGCACCCAGGUGCCCAUGAAAUCACUACUCUUCUAUUUCUUUCUCCCUAUUGCUGACUUCCAGUUAGGAAUUUACUGUUUAUAUAGGCCACAUUUAUGACAUCACAGAAUGUGUAACCAUAUGGAUAAUGUUGCCAUUGCCACAUUUUCUCUAAAUGAAUUUUUUAAGAAUGGAAGUCACGUUAUCAAAAGAUUUUAUGUGGGCCUUUAAAAAAAUGCACAAAGGAUUUAAGGAAAUUCUGGAAAAGACAAAAUCAUUAGGACAGAAAUAUAGACAAGAAAGAACAAAUUUUAGUGAGGACAUGGAGAGAAAGGGAUCCACUGGCUCCAUUGGUAGGAAUGUAAAUUGGUACACAUGUUGUGAAAAACAGCAUAAAGCUUCCUCAAAAAAUUAACAACUGAAUACCGUAUGAUCCAAUAAUCCUACCACUGAGUAUUUAGAAACCAAAAAUACUAAUUUGGAAGGAUAUAUGCAUCCCAAUUUUUAUUGAAAC
rnacentral:lncRNA from 1 species